rnacentral:rRNA from 1 species
GAUGAACGCUGGCGGCGUGCCUAAUACAUGCAAGUCGAGCGAACAGACGAGGAGCUUGCUCCUCUGUCGUUAGCGGCGGACGGGUGAGUAACACGUGGAUAACCUACCUAUAAGACUGGGAUAACUUCGGGAAACCGGAGCUAAUACCGGAUAAUAUAUUGAACCGCAUGGUUCAAUAGUGAAAGACGGUUUUGCUGUCACUUAUAGAUGGAUCCGCGCCGCAUUAGCUAGUUGGUAAGGUAACGGCUUACCAAGGCAACGAUGCUUAGCCGACCUGAGAGGUUGAUCGGCCACACUGGAACUGAGACACGGUCCAGACUCCUACGGGAGGCAGCAGUAGGGAAUCUUCCGCAAUGGGCAAAAGCCUGACGGAGCAACGCCGCGUGAGUGAUGAAGGUCUUCGGAUCGUAAAACUCUGUUAUUAGGGAAGAACAAAUGUGUAAGUAACUAUGCACGUCUUGACGGUACCUAAUCAGAAAGCCACGGCUAACUACGUG